rnacentral:rRNA from 1 species
UACGUAGGGUGCAAGCGUUGUCCGGAAUUAUUGGGCGUAAAGAGCUUGUAGGCGGUUUGUCGCGUCUGCUGUGAAAUUUCGGGGCUCAACCCCGAACUUGCAGUGGGUACGGGCAGACUAGAGUGUGGUAGGGGAGACUGGAAUUCCUGGUGUAGCGGUGAAAUGCGCAGAUAUCAGGAGGAACACCGAUGGCGAAGGCAGGUCUCUGGGCAAUAACUGACGCUGAGAAGCGAAAGCAUGGGGAGCGAACAGG